AUUGAACGCUGGCGGCAUGCCUAACACAUGCAAGUCGAGCGGAGCGGCGGACGGGUGAGUAAUGCCUAGUAAUCUGCCUGGUGGUGGGGGAUCACUUCCGGAAACGGGCGCUAAUACCGCAUACUAUCAGAUGAGCCUCGGUCGAGUUAGCUAGUUGGUGGGGUAAAGGCCUACCAAGGCGACGAUCCGUAACUGGUCUGAGAGGAUGAUCAGUCACACUGGAACGGAGACACGGUCCAGACUCCUACGGGAGGCAGCAGUGGGGAAUAUUGGACAAUGGGCGAAAGCCUGAUCCAGCAACGCCGCGUGUGUGAAGAAGGUCUUCGGAUUGUAAAGCACUGUAGGUUGGGAGGCGUUACCAACAGAAUAAGCACCGGCUAACUUCGUGCCAGCAGCCGCGGUAAUAC
rnacentral:rRNA from 1 species